rnacentral:rRNA from 1 species
UGGGGAAUAUUGGACAAUGGGCGCAAGCCUGAUCCAGCAAUGCCGCGUGAGUGAUGAAGGCCCUAGGGUUGUAAAGCUCUUUUACCCGGGAAGAUAAUGACUGUACCGGGAGAAUAAGCCCCGGCUAACUCCGUGCCAGCAGCCGCGGUAAUACGGAGGGGGCUAGCGUUGUUCGGAAUUACUGGGCGUAAAGCGCACGUAGGCGGCUUUGUAAGUCAGAGGUGAAAGCCCUGGAGCUCAACUCCAGAACUGCCUUUGAGACUGCAUCGCUUGAAUCCAGGAGAGGUCAGUGGAAUUCCGAGUGUAGAGGUGAAAUUCGUAGGUAUUCGGAAGAACACCAGUGGCGAAGGCGGCUGACUGGACUGGUAUUGACGCUGAGGUGCGAAAGCGUGGGGGAGCAAACAGGA